rnacentral:rRNA from 1 species
CCUACGGGAGGCAGCAGUGGGGAAUCUUCGGCAAUGGGCGCAAGCCUGACCGAGCGACGCCGCGUGUGGGAUGAAGGCCUUCGGGUUGUAAACCACUGUCAGAGGGGAUGAAAUGCAGGUGGGUUCUCCCAUCUGUUUGACAUAGCCUCAGAGGAAGGACGGGCUAAGUUCGUGCCAGCAGCCGCGGUAAGACGAACCGUCCAAACGUUAUUCGGAAUCACUGGGCUUAAAGGGUGCGUAGGCGGCGCGGCAAGUUGGGUGUGAAAUCCCUCGGCUCAACCGAGGAACUGCGCCCAAAACUGCCGUGCUCGAGGGAGAUAGAGGUGAGCGGAACUUAGGGUGGAGCGGUGAAAUGCGUUGAUAUCCUAAGGAACACCGGUGGCGAAAGCGGCUCACUGGAUCUCUUCUGACGCUGAGGUGCGAAAGCUAGGGUAGCGAACGGGCUUAGAUACCCCUGUAGUC